rnacentral:rRNA from 1 species
ACAUGCAAGUCGAGCGGAGUGAUGGUGCUUGCACCAUCACUUAGCGGCGGACGGGUGAGUAAUGCUUAGGAAUCUGCCUAUUAGUGGGGGACAACAUUUCGAAAGGAAUGCUAAUACCGCAUACGUCCUACGGGAGAAAGCAGGGGAUCUUCGGACCUUGUGCUAAUAGAUGAGCCUAAGUCGGAUUAGCUAGUUGGUGGGGUAAAGGCCUACCAAGGCGACGAUCUGUAGCGGGUCUGAGAGGAUGAUCCGCCACACUGGGACUGAGACACGGCCCAGACUCCUACGGGAGGCAGCAGUGGGGAAUAUUGGACAAUGGGCGCAAGCCUGAUCCAGCCAUGCCGCGUGUGUGAAGAAGGCCUUAUGGUUGUAAAGCACUUUAAGCGAGGAGGAGGCUACUGAAGUUAAUACCUUCAGAUAGUGGACGUUACUCGCAGAAUAAGCACCGGCUAACUCUGUGCCAGCAGCCGCGGUAAUACAGAGGGUGCAAGCGUUAAUCGGAUUUACUGGGCGUAAAGCGCGCGUAGGCGGCUAAUUAAGUCAAAUGUGAAAUCCCCGAGCUUAACUUGGGAAUUGCAUUCGAUACUGGUUAGCUAGAGUGUGGGAGAGGAUGGUAGAAUUCCAGGUGUAGCGGUGAAAUGCGUAGAGAUCUGGAGGAAUACCGAUGGCGAAGGCAGCCAUCUGGCCUAACACUGACGCUGAGGUGCGAAAGCAUGGGGAGCAAACAGGAUUAGAUACCCUGGUAGUCCAUGCCGUAAACGAUGUCUACUAGCCGUUGGGGCCUUUGAGGCUUUAGUGGCGCAGCUAACGCGAUAAGUAGACCGCCUGGGGAGUACGGUCGCAAGACUAAAACUCAAAUGAAUUGACGGGGGCCCGCACAAGCGGUGGAGCAUGUGGUUUAAUUCGAUGCAACGCGAAGAACCUUACCUGGCCUUGACAUAGUAAGAACUUUCCAGAGAUGGAUUGGUGCCUUCGGGAACUUACAUACAGGUGCUGCAUGGCUGUCGUCAGCUCGUGUCGUGAGAUGUUGGGUUAAGUCCCGCAACGAGCGCAACCCUUUUCCUUAUUUGCCAGCGAGUAAUGUCGGGAACUUUAAGGAUACUGCCAGUGACAAACUGGAGGAAGGCGGGGACGACGUCAAGUCAUCAUGGCCCUUACGGCCAGGGCUACACACGUGCUACAAUGGUCGGUACAAAGGGUUGCUACCUAGCGAUAGGAUGCUAAUCUCAAAAAGCCGAUCGUAGUCCGGAUUGGAGUCUGCAACUCGACUCCAUGAAGUCGGAAUCGCUAGUAAUCGCGGAUCAGAAUGCCGCGGUGAAUACGUUCCCGGGCCUUGUACACACCGCCCGUCACACCAUGGGAGUUUGUYGCACCAGAAGUAGGUAGUCUAACCGCAAGGAGGACGCUACCACGUGC